CCUACGGGAGGCAGCAGUGGGGAAUAUUGCGCAAUGGGCGAAAGCCUGACGCAGCGACGCCGCGUGAGGGAUGAAGGUCUUCGGAUCGUAAACCUCUGUCAGAAGGGAAAAAUGUACAGUGCCCCAAUCAACACUGUAUUGAUGGUACCUUCAGAGGAAGCACCGGCUAACUCCGUGCCAGCAGCCGCGGUAAU
rnacentral:rRNA from 1 species